CAGCAAUUGAUCAAUCGGUGGUUUGGUGGACGCAGCGUGAGUCUAAGUUGAAUCAGACGAUGUUAUCCGAAGGUGCAAGGUGUGCUUUUUGGUGAGGAAGAUUGGCCCUGAGCUAAGGUUCCUGGGAGAUUUUUUGCUAUCACUAGACACUCAAUGAUGACAGUACCAUUCUGCGCAUGAUUCCAUGGGCUGAAGAAAAGGUCAUACCAAGAGCCAAAUUAAUUAAAAUGAAGAGAGAACUUUUGAAAAGAAAUAAUGAAUAAGCUUUUGGAUUAUUUGAUAAUCAAAUUAACGAAGAGGAGUAAAUUAUAUCAACACACUGAAAAAAGAUAUCAAUUUCUUGCUGACUUGACAAGAAAUACCAACAUUGAUUAAGAUAACAUAAAAUUCAUAAUAUGCUACUACAGACGGGGCAUUGUUAGCAAACUGGGUGAGGGUUGUAAAUGCAAGAGUAUUUGAAAUUCGUCACUGCUUGAGUAAAAUGGAAAUGCCCAGAAAUCUUACCAUUUGUCAUAUAAAGAAGUAACCAAAAGAGCCAAGAACAUACAAUGGGGAAAGGACAGUCUCUUCAAUAUAUCGUCUUGGGAAAACUGGACAGCCAUGUGCAAAAGAAUGAAACUGGACCACUAUCUUACACCACACACAAAAAUUAACUCAAAAUGGAUUAAAACUUGAAUGUAAGACCUAAAACCAUAAAAUUCCUAGAAGGAAACAUAGGCUCCUUGACAUCAGUCUUGGCAACGAUUUUUGGGAUCUGACUCCAAAAGCAAAGGCAAUAAAAGCAAAAUAAAGUAGGAAUACAUCAAACUAAAAAUCUUCUACACAGCAGAGGAGAUCACCAACAAAAUAAAAAGGUAAUCUACUGAAUGGGAGAAAAUAUUGGCAAGUCAAAUCUCUCAUAAGGGAUUAAUAUUCAAAAUAUAUAAAGAACUCAUACAACUCAAUAGCAAAAAAACAAUCCAAUUAAAAAAUGGGCAGAGGAUCUGAAUAGACAUUUUUCCAAGGAAGAAAUAUAGGUGGCCAACAGGUACAUGAAAAGAUGCUCAACAUCACUAAUCAUCAGGGAAAUGAAAAUCAAAACCACGGUGAAAUAUCACCUCACACUGGUUAGAAUGGCUAUUAUCAAAAAGACGAAAAAUAACAAGUUUUGGGAGGAUGUGGAGAAAAGGGAAUCCUUGUGCACUGCUAAUGGGAAUAUAAAUUGGUGCAGUCAAUAUGGAAAACAUAAUGGGGGCUUCUCAAAAAGUUAAAAAUAGAACUACCAUAUGAUCUAGAAAUUCCACUUCUGGGUAUUUGAAGAAAACAAAACACUAACUUGAAAAACUGUAUGCACCCCCAUGUUCAUUGCAGCAUUAUUUACAGUAGCCAAGAUAUGGAAGCAACUUAACUGUCCAUUGGUGGAUGAAUGGAUAAAGAAUGGAUAAAGAAGAUGUGGUAUAUAUAUAUAUAUAAUGGAAUAUUAUUCAGCCAUAAAAAAGAGUGAAAUCUUGCCAUUUGAAACAAUAUGGAUGGACCUUGAGGGCGUUAUGCUAAGUGAACUAAGUCAGACAGAGAAAGAACAAACACUGUAUGAUCUCACUUAUAUGUGGAACUUAAAAGACAAAACAAAACAAAAACCAAGCUCAUAGAAACAGAGAACAGAUUGGUGGUUGCCAGGGGUUGAAGGGUGAAAUGAGUGAAAGGAGUCAAAAGGUACAAACUUACAAUCAUAAAAUAAAAAGUCAUGGGCCUGUAAUGUACAGCAUGGUGACUAUAAUUAAUAAUACUGUAUUGCAGGUUUGAAAGUUGCUAAGAGAAUAAAUCUCAAAAGUCUUCAACACAAGAAAAAGAAUUUUAGUAACUGUAUGGUGCUGAUGUUAACUAGACUUAUUAUGGUGAUCAUUUCACAAUAUAUAUAAAUAUCAAAUAAUUAUUUUGUACACCUAAAACUAAUAUAAUGUGAUAAGUGAAUUAUACCUCAAUUUUUUUAAAAAAAGUAAUUAAGUGUAUGUAGCCAAAAAUGGUAUGAAAGUAUUAUUAUAGAGUUGCAUCAGGCAGUUAACGAAUUUGAAAAGUUAUAUUAUUUUGUGGAUUUUGUGAUGCCAGGGGAAUAUGUCAGGUUUUGGGGGUUAUUUUCUUUUUCCUUUUGCUGAGAAAGAUUAGCCCUGAGCCAACAUCUGUUGUCAAUCUUCCUCUUUUUUUGCUUGAGGAAGAUCAGCCCUGAGCUAACAUCUAUGCCAGUCUUCCUCUAUUUUAUGUGUGGGUUGCCACCACAGCAUGGCUGAGGAGUGGUGUAGGUCUGCGCCAGGGAUCCCAAGCUGUGAACCUGGACUGCUGAAGCAGAGCGCUCUGAACUUAACCACUAGGGCAUUGGGCCAGCUCCUAUGUCAGCUUUUUAAAAUGUGUAAUUUGUUGUGAUUUUCUUUCCUCAAUUGAAAUAAAUAUUCAUUUUAUAGCUAAUUCUGUAUUUGUAAUUUUCAUUAUUGUUUAAAAAUAAGAACUCCCAAAUUGUACAAGUUUCAAGCCCACAAAAUCUGGAUCUGUCCCUGGGUAAGGGAGAUAUGAAGGAUCAAAGGGAAGAAAUUCAGGGGUCUCCAUUCUGAGGGGCCUCAGUUGCCAGCUGACUUCUCCUCACAGCUGCUGAUGUGGCUUCCAUAGCCUGAGAGACCAGUGGAGUGCUGUGGACCUUUCACAGGUUCCCCACCUUUUCUCCCUUAUUUACUAGCACUAUUCAUGUGGUUACAGCAAUGGCUGUCUGCCACAACACUGAAUCGAGGAUGCUCUAUAGUAUGAAAUAGCUGUACAGGUGGCUUCAGGUAAAAGGUAAGCAGAGUGAUCAGUGCCAAAGUCAAAUGUGAGGAUAUUGCCUCUUGACACAUAAAAGAGCAUGCACGAGGCAGCAUAACGUAACGCCAAGGUGUUAGGAAAUAGGUAUUAACCAGAGGCAACUGCAGAAUUUCUAGGUAGGUUGGUUAUCUGUGUGAAAGGUGAAGAUAAGAGACAUAUAAACUGAGUUUGCAUAGCUAGCUCCAGCCUUUAUUUAAACUGUAUGUUACCUGGGGUGGCUCGCAGCAAGGGGCAUGCCAAUGAAGACUGUGUGGGCCAUGGGGUGGGUAAUGCACCUCUUUGCCCAUGCCGUCACGGGGGUCUGCCCUGACCCCUUGGCGUCUUGCAGCAAAAUAUCAGCUAGAGGCUGUAUUUGCUGCGGAAUUAUUUAGCUUGUUUUGUUUCAUCAAUCUCUUAAAACGGGCCACCAAACAUUUAAGAAUGUUGAAGUGCGUAUGAAUACAAAAGGUUGAGAACCACAAAACUAUAAGGGAACUCUUCUGAGUUCAGAUGUAAACUCUAACUUUGGAACAAUUAACCCCAGAGAAGCCUUCAGUCCACUCAAGGUUCUCUGUUCUCUAGUAAAUGAUGGACUUGACGAGAUCCUUCAACACAAAUUCCCUCAUCAUACAACUUGUGGGUCCAGGCAUGGUGCCUCCCACUGGGCACGUAAAGAACAGCAGGCAGGUACUUGAGCUUUUUAUCAGAGCUCAUUAAGCAGGAGGUGAGCACCUGUAUUGUGUGCACUAUGUGGUAAGUGCUUUGGGAAAGACAAGGCUGACAGGAAUCUAACUACGCUGACUCUGUUCUGGAAAGAACUGGAAGGAAAAGAGCUUUUGUUUUUUAUGGAAGUCAAAUCACUGCCUAAGAGAAAAGGAAUGGAAGGAAGAAAUUAUCCCAUGGUGAGAAUGGAGGUUAAUUGCUUAUUUCUUCCUCUGGGAUGCCUUUGCAAAGCAUGUAAUUCUUUUAUCUUCAGGGCCCUGACAUGUUUUAAUUAAUUUAUACUAACAUCCUAGUGUUUUAAUAUAUUUUUUCUUAUGAUAGAAAAAAAAUAUGCUUUAUAAGUGGCUUGGAGCCAUAGUGGGAACAAAAACGGAGAAUGGUGGAAAGGAUGUUAUGGCAGCUGCACACUUACUUGUCUCACUUCCUGAUUUUGCUGAAAAUCAGCUAAGAUUGCAUCCUUUCACCUUUACUCCAUUUUUUAAAAAAUCUGUUCCAUUUAAAAAUAAUCUUUAAAUAAGCAAUCCUACACUUUUAUUUAUUCAGACAAAAUCCUCAAAAGUUAUUUUUGAAAACCGAUUAAGGUUUAAGCUCCUACUUUUAAGAGACGAGCAUUUUUGCCAUGAGUUUCAAGGAGAGCUUAGAAACCUCCUUGAUAUUUGUAAAUCUCAGGGAGAUUGUCACAGUAGGAGCCAAACCAUAUCUUGGUUCGCAUAUAAUUUUCUGCACAGCUAAUAAGCUGGAACAGUUAAGAACUAAUCAUCGCGGCAUGGCUGUACCUGCUUUUCGAAGCUUGGCAGAAGAUAGCUGCAGCUUAAAGUACCAGAGGAGAGAAGAUGUAGUAUUAUUCCCUUUUAGAGAACAGGGACCAUUGAAGGAAAGAAUUAGAUAACUGUGUUUUCUGAAUUAUUUAUCUGGUGUCACAGAUGUCACAAGGCUUUUGGGGACGUUUUUGGUCAUUACUUAACGUGAGUGUUAAGAUGCACAGUCUAAAGGCUUUCCUAAUAAAAUUUAAGUCAUUCACUCUCCCUUCAAGGUUGGAAGAGGAGGGAACUUUUCUUGCUGCCAUUGCGUUCCACAGACGUGGGAAGUACAGCCAAGCAAAGAACCCGCAGAAGGAAAAAAGCUAGGCAUUUGCGAAGAAGUGGGGCCUGCGUUCCAUAUGGCUCGCCGGGGUGCAGAGCAGAUGGCCUGGGCAGCGUGCUCUAAGAGCCGACAGGAGCCAGCAGGCAGCCACUGAGCGUGCCCACCGAAGCCUGCCAUGUGAAAAGGCUUUCCAUCAGUUAGGGCAAGGAAAAGUGAUGAUUUUUAUGUUUAUGAUUCUCUGCUUUAUGCAUUUCUGGAGUGAAAUAAAAUGGCAGGAGGACAGGUGUGAGGAUAAGGUAGAAUAAUCUUUCGAUACGUCUACUGGUGCCGGAAGCCCAAGAAAACAGCUCUGGUUGCUAACGGAGGAGCCUAACGUGUCCCCAGUGAAAGCUGACUUUUGUGUAGUGCUUUAUGUGCCAGGCUUUUAAAAUGUCACAACCUUACUGGGUAGGUUUUAGUUUUGUUCCCAAUUUAAAAUGAGGAAAUGAGGCCCAAAGAGAGAUGCUUGAUCAAUGGUCCUCAGUGAGGCGGAGAGCCAUUCCUGACCUCAGUGUUCACGCAUAGCCGUGACUUCAGGCUACUUCUCCGGGAGAUGUGGACUUGCUGAAGAGCAGGUCCCCUUCUCUGUUAUACAUAUAGAGGGAAGGACAGAAGUCAUUCAUUCAAUCAACAAACAUUUACUGCCUGUCUGCAAUGUGCCAGGUGCCAUCAAGACCAAGUGGAUAUUUGAGGUGUGAGGACUCAGAAGGAUUUACAACCCAGUGAUUCGCAAUAAAAAAAUUUUCCUCCUCUAGAGAAUUCACUUUCACACCCCUUCGAAGUUAAUAUUUUAACAAGAACAGUGCCAUCAUAGUGCUCUGCUCUGCGGUUUGCGAUGGCUUGCUGUGGCAUUCUGGUGCCCUCUCGGGCCUUGCCCUCCGUCCUCAGGGACAUGUGCCUUCUGCGCCCCUCAAACUGGGGCACAUCCUGCUCCUCCCAACACGCCCAACACCUGCCUUCUUCGGCUUCUCUGAUGAUUCUCUUCCAUCUGCCUGGAACAAAUCACCUCUCACCUCAAAAUCCGUCUUGUCCAACUUAAACACAAACUUCCUCCACAAAACUGUCUCAGGACUCUGCCCAUACGCCACACCCAGAAGCUCUGCCCUCCCUGGGGACGUGCAGGACGCCUCGUCCACACCUCUCGGGACAUUGGGUACAUUUUGUCUGCACUGUGAUCAUUUUGUACUGGUCUUACCAACCCUUCUUGCCUGGGAGCUUUUGGGGGGAAGUCCUUUAGUUCAUCCAUCUUUGUGUACCCCAGGAUCUAGCAAUGGGUUGAAUAGAUGGCUGAAUAGGUAAUUUUCCUUGAACACAGUUCUUCUGUAUAUUAAAUCCAGAACCCUGGUUUUUAACCCUGUGGUGAAAAACCAAAUCAUGCCAGAUCGUGAGAAAGAACGUCAUUAUCAAAGGCCAAUCAGAGAUGGAUAACUUUCUCCUGGAACAUUAUGAUAGACAGUUUCUGAAAAGCAGGUGCCACAAAUGGGGAAAUUUUCAGUCUUUUUAGCAAAAUGUAUUGAUUUUUUUCAGAAUGGCAGUGAUUUUCCGUUUAUCCAAGCCUUAUUGCUACAGCUGUUGCUUUUCCAACCUCUCAGCCUCCGUCAUGCCCUCCGAGUUCUGGCAUUCGUCACCUCUGUCCUGUUUUCUUGCAUCACUCCUCAGCUGGGCUCUCUGACUACUGACUGUCUACUAUCAACCACCUCCCUUCACGCUAGAACGUGGUAUUUCUAAAAUAUCACUCUGAAGAGGCAAGAGGCCAUAGCGGUUAAGAGGCCAGACUCUGCAGUCAAUGACACUCAGGUCUGUGUCUCUCUGUGGCCACCCACUAGCUCUGUGACUUUGGACAAAUUACUUCUCCAAGCCUCAUUUUUCUCUUCCACAGUAUUGAAGAAAACAACUCUACUGUCUCAUAGCAUUGUUGUGAAAACUUCUCAUGCAAAAUGCUCAAGUAGCAUGCCUGGCAUAAAGUCUCGACUACUGAAUGCUAUCAUUUUAAUGUCAUUCCUUUGCUUUAAAAAACGAAGAAGAAGAAAAAACUUUAAGUGGAUUCUAAUAGGUUGCAAUAUAAAAUAGCCGAGUCUUGGCUUGGAAUAUAAAAAUAUAAAAUCCUUCCUCUUCCAGCCUCGUUCUAUCCUUACAGCAUGAUUUCCCGCUCCUUCCUUUUAUGUAAGCCCUCCCUUCAGCCAUAAAGAAUUUUUCAAUGUUCCGUGUCAUUCGCUUUCACACCCAUGAAUAUAUUGGUCUCUCUGACUGAAAUUCUCCUGAGCCCACCUGUUAAACUCCUCCAUCCUUCAAGAAUCAAGUACAAGCUCCUUUGUGAAGUCUCCUUAUCACCCCAGACAGAGUUAAGUCCCCCAUUUUGCUCCCAAAGCAUGCUAUUCUUAUUUCUGUUACAGUAAGUUUCGUAUGGCAUUGCCAUUGUUUAUCUUUUUCUCAUUAAUUUAUAACCUCUUCUAAGAACGUGGCUUAUUAAUGUCUGGUUAGAUAACACUAGUAGAAGUGCCUGGCAUAGAGUAAACUUGCAUAAAUAUUUGCAAAAUGAAUUAACAAAUGAAUAAAUCCAGGAACCAAAGGAAUCAUUCUUUGUGGAAGAAAGAUAUGAAGUCAGCUACCAUGCCUUGGGCCCAACUAUUUCACUUAUAAAAUGAAAUGACAAAAUAUAUACAUGCACUUGAAUGCACAGAGAAAUAAACAGUAAAUAAUAAAGGAGACAAUUUCAUAUCAGGGAAUGGUUUUAGAAAAUAGUGCGCUUUCUGUGCUUGCUCAGCUCAUCUUCUAAAGCCUUUCUUCACAUCUACAGUAAGUUCUGGGCAGUCAAAGUUCAUGAUGGUGACCUGGAGCCCUUAUAAGUCAAAACCCAUUUUCUGGUUACCUUUCUAUUGAAAAGACAUUCAGUCUAUUACAAUAGUCCAAUUCUUGGUCCAUCAGAGCUUACUAUAAUAAGAAAGCCAAUAGGCGUUAUACUUCUGAGACUCAUAAAAGCAAAUAAUCCUAGACAAAGGAAAACCUUUAUGCCCAAAGAUUUACUUUGCGUUAUUGCAUUUAACAACAACAAAAAAUAACAAACAAGCUAAAUGUCUAAAAUAUAAUGAUGUUAAGUACACUACGGCACAUUUAUUCAGUGGAAUUCUGCUUUUUCGAAUCACGUUGUCAGUGUGCAUGUAGUAUAAUGGGAAAACACUUACAAUAUAUUAAUUUUUAAAAUCAAGGUAUAUAACUGCAAAUUGACAAGGAUCACAACCAUGUAAUAAAAAUAAUGUAUAGACAAAAUACUGUAAAAAAUACAUCAAAUAUUAAUAAUAUUUGGGUAGUAGAGCCGUAAUUUUCUUUUCAGUGAGAAAGAUUGUCCCUGAGCUAAUAUCUGUGCCAAGUUUCCCCUGUUUUGUAUGUGGGCUGCCACCACAGCAUGGCUUGGCGAGCGGUGUGUAGGUCUGCACCCAAGAUACGAACUUGCGAACCACAGGCUGCCAAAGCGAAGCUCACGAUCUCAACCACUAUGCCCCUGGGCUGGCCCCCCAUAAGUUUUUUUUUUUUUACUUUUUUAGUAAUUUUCAAAUGUUCUGUAAUGAAAUCUAUUUUUAUUUUAAAAAUAUCACUUAAUUUUUUUAACCUAAAAGCAUACUUUGAUGGAUUAACCCUGCCAACUCAAACCAUUAGGCCAAUUUAAUCCAAUGUACAUUAGAAGUCUUGAUGACUCACUCAGCCUUCUUAAAAAGUUGCUCUACCAUAUUAGCUAAGCUUUUGUUUCCAUUCAGCAGGCUUCAACGGAGCACCUAUUGUGUGAAGUCUUUGUGUUAGGCACGGGGUUGGGAGAGAAAAGAUACAACGAUAAUACACACUGUCUCACAGUGGGCACUUCGCACUCCAGGUAUGUGGCUACAGACACCCGGUCCCCCAUUCUCUCCAGUACAGCCUGUCUGUGUCAAAAGUUCUGGUAGAGAUGAGAGCAAGGGGUUCCAUAUUUAACUCUGCUUGACAGAGCUAGAGAAGUGUGUACGGGAAGCUGACAUUUGAGUUGGGAAUUAAGGAUUGUGAAGUGUAAAAAUGUGAGGGAGAAUACUCCAGAAAGAGGAAGAAAGGCAUUAAAAUGCAUGCGCAGUGAUGAGCUGUCUGCUGUGAUGGGAACAUUCAGCGCGAGGUGGAGAAAGUCUUGGAAGGAGGCAAGCAUAAUUGCAAUAAUGCAUUUGUUGGCAGUGUACGUGAAAAGCCUACAUGAACUUAAUCCUCUUCCAAGCUUUAAUAUUAAACACUUAAUUUAUUCCAAAAUACUCGGAUAUCCAUUACUUGAUUUCCCAUGCUUUGGCCUAUUUUUGUUGGCAGUCCUGAACUUGCAUAAUUAUAGUCAUAAUUAGAAAUAUAACAACAACAUCAAAUCUUUAUUCAAGAUUUACCUGUGCCUGGUACUCUGCUAAGCAUUUUCCACACGUUAUCUCACAUGAGCCUCGUGAAAACCAGGGGAGGUAAGGGCUUUAUCCCCAUUCCACAGAUGGAUAAACUGAGUUACAGAAAUAGUAAAUAAUUUUACCAAGGUCACACGGAUGGUAGGUAGGAAUGAAAGGACGUGAAGGCCAAAACUAAUCGCUUGACUCAUUAAGUUAAAAUUAAUUCUCUGGGCUCAAGCAGACCAAACAAGGUAAGGCCCUCUCAGUGCGGUUCAGCAAGGCAGGCACUAGGUGGCAGAACAGCCCAGCUUGGAUGGAGUUGAGACUGGGUGCGGUCUCAUCUUGGAAGCCAGUUAGGGGAUCUAGCCAUGGUUAGAGAUAACUGUUUCCCUUCAAAUUAAGCAGAUUGGGACUGAAAUAAUAUUCUUCCCUACGUAUUUAAGCCUCAAAAGGAAAAUUUCUCAUUUUUCAAAUGAGAAUCACAAACAUAAUCCAAAUAGUUUCCCACGUAGUUGGAAAGGUAUAAGCUACAACCGAAGACGAAAGAGGAUAUGACUUUUCUCGUUUCCUCCUUCACAGGAGAGGGGGAUACUGCAAACCUGGCUAAUUUAGGUGACGAGAUAUCUGGUUUUACAUGGCCGUACUUUUAUCUGCUACCAUAACUGUAGUGUGGUAGACCUUGUUUCAGGGAAUAAAUGCCCACAAGGACUGAGAGGGGAAGUCAAGACUCCACAGAAGACCUGCCUUAGGCACCACAUGUCUACCCUGGACUGACUUCUCCAUUUUCCUUCACCUUGUCAGCUCUCCAACUAUUUAACUUAGGUUAAAUAGAUACAAAUAUUUAACAGGGAUAAUUAAAGAGAAAUAUCACCCAAAAAACAAAUUUAAGAGGCAGGGUCUGAUUCUGUUAUUUGUCAUCUGUUAGUCCGUUCUUUAGUCAGGUUGAAGCCAAAACUCAAGCAAACUUGACCCAAAGACCUAAAAUCAUUGAAUCUGUUAAUAGCACUGACCCUAAGAAAAUUCGCUCUUAGAAGGAUUUCCUGUCCAACUUAUAGGUGUGAAUAGACCAAAGGAACACUCCUACAAUCCUUGGGCUAAAACACAGGCUCUACCCAAAUCACCAUACUCUGGGACUUUUGUGAAAAUGAUGAGUUCGUGAUGGGGACACUCUAAAUGUGUAAGGGGCACAUCAGAUCAAGGCACAUCAAGUUCCAAUCAGAACUUAACCACACGAACCAUGAAAAACCUUGACUCUCCAUUUCUUCUUUCAUAGAAAGAGCAUGAGCUCUCAGCAGCUCACUUCCCCCUCAUGCCCCCUGACCAUCCUCUAACCCUGUUUCAAUGGAAAAAAAAAUCCUAGCCAGAAAACAUGCCACUGAAGAACACAAAGAAGAAUUUGUAAUUCCAAAAUGAAAUGAGAAGAACCAUUCAGAGCCAUGUGGAGUGAAACAGAAAGUAUGUCGUCCAUUGUCAUUUUGCUAGAACAUUUCCCAGAGGCUAUUGUGAAGUCUACCUUUUCUCUCCUUCUCCCCUUCUUCUUCAAGAGGAAGACGUACUAAUCUUUGCAUCACGUUCCAGAGUAUUUAUUGGAAUGUAUGUAAUCAGCUUUAUUCAGAUAUGAUUAAUAUAAAAUAAAAUUCACCCAUUUUAAGCGUCUAUUUUGAUGAGCUUUGACAAAUGCAUACUGUUGUGUGUGCACUGCCACUAUCGUGAACAUUUCUCGUGACUCCCAAUGUGGCAGAUCCCGUUGUGCAAACAAUACCCCUCCUGCCUCCCCAUCUCCCACCUCCUCAGCUCCUGACAAGUACUCUGCUUUCUGUCUCUGUAGUUUUCCUUUUUCUAUAAUAUCACAUAAGUGAAAUCACACAGCAUGCAGCCUUUUUUGCCUGGCUUCCUUCACUCAAUGUAGUGUUUUUAAGAUUCAUCUAUGAUAGGGCAUGUAUCACUGGGGUUUUUUAAUCGCUAUCGAUAUGCUAUAAUUUGUGUAUCCAUUCACCAACACAAAAUAUUUUCUUGUUUUUGGUUUUUCGCUAUCAUGAAUAAAGCUGCUAGGAACAUUCAAACACAAGCCGUUGCGUGAACACGUGUUUCCAUUUAUCUUGGGUGAAUUCCUAGGAGUGAGCUUGCUAGGUCGUCUGGAAAUGUGUGUUUAACUCUGUAAGAAUCUGCACCACAGUUUAGAUAGGGAUCCAUCUACUCUGUGUGGCUCUUCUUCUAAAUCUGUGUCUGGAAUCGUAAAAGAGCAAAGGGCAUCUCUCACGCAGAAGGAGCUGAGCCAAUGCCCCGUCUUUGGAUUUUCAGACAUUUACUAUCAUUUGUAUCUUUAGUCGGCCAGAGAGUGAUAACAUUGCAAGAUUUUUAUCUGACCCUGGGAAGAUAAAGCUAUCAAAUGGCGCUGGCUCUCCUUCACACAUCUUAGCCCACAGGCCCAAUCCUCUUGCUCUAGUGCAUUUUACCAGCAACUCUGCACUGGGAUCCGAGAUGCCAGAACCGCCAAUAAUAAAGCUGUUCUUGGCUUUCCUUGUCAGUGUUUCUCUGCAUGUGCUUCUCCCUCAGGAAUGCCAAAGUAGAAGAGAUGCUAGUAGCAAGACAACAUUCACCUUCCUGAAUGCCCCAGCCAGAUGUGCUCCAAUUGCACGCUUCACAGACCUUAAUAACCAGCAUCUGUGUAUAGUAGUAUUUGGAGCCUAAAUAUUACAUGCCAAUGUUGUAUAUCAUUCUGGAGUUCCAGAAGUCAGAAUUUGUAAGAUCUCAGACCGAAUAUAGAACUUGGAAAUCAGAAUUUGGAGUAUCUAGGACUGAGAAGAGAAACUGUCAAGAAAACAGAUAUAUAGGAAGCUUUUGCUUUGACUAUAUUUAAUAUGUAUAUACUGGUAUCCCCUAGGUACUAAGAUCCGUUUUAGGCACUGGGUAUACAGCAGUGAACAAGACAGACAAGGUCUUGUUUUCACGGAGCUUAUUUUUCAAUGGGAUGAGGAGAUGAUCAGUUCAUCGAUGAAUGGGCACACACACACACACACACACACUCACACACACACACACCAAGAAAAAUAUCAAUACCUGGCAAAGCACAAACCCAGGAUCAUGUGCAGGAGGGACUUAGGGAAGCCUUCUGAAGAAGCCAGCUAUACACAGAUCAGGAAAAUUGCAUAGCCGGGCCAAAGAAGGCCCUAGCGCGAAGGUUGUGGGUUGAACAAUCCUGGGGGCAGAAAGCAAGCAGCUGAGGCAGAGCGGAUUGGGG
rnacentral:lncRNA from 1 species